UGAGUUUACGCUCUAUAACCCUUUGUGAACAUACCUAUAACUGUUGCUUCGGCGGGUAGGGUCUCCGCGACCCUCCCGGCCUCCCGCCUCCGGGCGGGUCGGCGCCCGCCGGAGGAUAACCAAACUCUGAUUUAACGACGUUUCUUCUGAGUGGUACAAGCAAAUAAUCAAAACUUUUAACAACGGAUCUCUUGGUUCUGGCAUCGAUGAAGAACGCAGCGAAAUGCGAUAAGUAAUGUGAAUUGCAGAAUUCAGUGAAUCAUCGAAUCUUUGAACGCACAUUGCGCCCGCCAGCAUUCUGGCGGGCAUGCCUGUUCGAGCGUCAUUUCAACCCUCAAGCUCUGCUUGGUGUUGGGGCCCUACAGCUGAUGUAGGCCCUCAAAGGUAGUGGCGGACCCUCCCGGAGCCUCCUUUGCGUAGUAACUUUACGUCUCGCACUGGGAUCCGGAGGGACUCUUGCCGUAAAACCCCCCAAUUUUCCAAAGGUUGACCUCGGAUCAGGUAGGAAUACCCGCUGAACUUAAGCAUAUCAAUAAGCGGAGGAAAAGAAACCAACAGGGAUUGCCUCAGUAACGGCGAGUGAAGCGGCAACAGCUCAAAUUUGAAAUCUGGCCCUAGGCCCGAGUUGUAAUUUGCAGAGGAUGCUUUUGGUGCGGUGCCUUCCAAGUUCCCUAGAACGGGACGCCAGAGAGGGUGAGAGCCCCGUACAGUUGGACACCAAGCCUUUGUAAAGCUCCUUCGACGAGUCGAGUAGUUUGGGAAUGCUGCUCAAAAUGGGAGGUAUAUUUCUUCUAAAGCUAAAUACCGGCCAGAGACCGAUAGCGCACAAGUAGAGUGAUCGAAAGAUGAAAAGCACUUUGAAAAGAGGGUUAAACAGCACGUGAAAUUGUUAAAAGGGAAGCGCUUGUGACCAGACUUGCGUCCGGUGAAUCACCCAGCUCUCGCGGCUGGGGCACUUCGCCGGCUCAGGCCAGCAUCAGCUCGCUGUCGGGGACAAAAGCUUCAGGAACGUAGCUCUCUUCGGGGAGUGUUAUAGCCUGUUGCACAAUACCCUUCGGCGGGCUGA
rnacentral:rRNA from 1 species